rnacentral:rRNA from 1 species
UACGUAGGGUGCAAGCGUUGUCCGGAAUUAUUGGGCGUAAAGAGCUCGUAGGCGGUCUGUCGCGUCGGCUGUGAAAACCCGGGGCUCAACUCCGGGCCUGCAGUCGAUACGGGCAGACUAGAGUGCGGUAGGGGAGACUGGAAUUCCUGGUGUAGCGGUGAAAUGCGCAGAUAUCAAGAGGAACACCGGUGGCGAAGGCGGGUCUCUGGGCCGUAACUGACGCUGAGGAGCGAAAAGCGUGGGGGAGCGAACAGG